rnacentral:rRNA from 1 species
UGGGGAAUAUUGCACAAUGGGGGAAACCCUGAUGCAGCGACGCCGCGUGAACGAAGAAGGUAUUCGUAUCGUAAAGUUCUGUCCUAUGGGAAGAUAAUGACAGUACCAUAGAAGAAAGCUCCGGCUAAAUACGUGCCAGUAGCCGCGGUAAUACGUAUGGAGCGAGCGUUGUCCGGAAUUAUUGGGCGUAAAGGGUACGCAGGCGGUUUAAUAAGUCGAAUGUUAAAGAUCGGGGCUCAACCCCGCAAAGCAUUGGAAACUGAUAAACUUGAGUAGUGGAGAGGAAAGUGGAAUUCCUAGUGUAGUGGUGAAAUACGUAGAUAUUAGGAGGAAUACCAGUAGCGAAGGCGACUUUCUGGACACAAACUGACGCUGAGGUACGAAAGCGUGGGGAGCAAACAGG